rnacentral:misc_RNA from 1 species
GCGACCUUCAUUUUUUUCUCUGGCCCGGUUUAGGCUUGUUUCUGAUGAAAGUUAGCGCUACAGCAUGUACAAUUAAAUCAGCCAUACAGUUCGAGAUGGAUGAUCUGGAAACUGGAAAUGCUGACAUUGACGCAAAAGUUGACGAAUGGAUGCGAUGGGAUAGGAAUGAUAAGAAUCGUGCCGAGAUCCGACAACUGGCUUUGGAGAAGAAUGUUGCCGAAUUGGAGAAACGCCUGCUUCAGAGGAUGGAGUUUGGCACAGCAGGUCUUCGGGCGAGGAUGGGAGCUGGCUACUCCAUGAUGAAUGACCUCACGAUCAUCCAAGCAACACAGGGUCUGGUGAAAUACCUUAUAGCGACGGUUCCGAAUGCCAAGAAGAACGGUGUUGUGGUGGGAUACGAUGCCAGACACAACAGUCAGAAAUGGAGUGAGCUGGUUGCAACCAUAUGUAUCAACGAAGGUGUGCCAGUCUACAAGUACUCUAAGAUCUGCCCUACUCCAUAUGUGCCGUAUGCUGUGGUGCACUAUGGAGCUUCAUGUGGGAUCAUGAUCACUGCCUCUCACAACCCAAAGGAAGACAAUGGCUAUAAAAUAUACUGGACAAAUGGAGCUCAGAUCAUUCCUCCGAUCGACAAGGGUAUUGCGACGUCCAUCAGAGAACAUCUUGAGCCUUUCCCCACGUCCUGGGAUACAUCCUGUGUCGCUGACAGCAAGCUGUUGAGGGAUCCCUACGAUGAGAUAUUUGAUCUGUACAACAAAGAUCUCCAUCAUCUCUGUCACUUCAGAGAUCAGAAUCUGUCCUCCAAAGUGACCUUCACCUAUACUGCCAUGCAUGGUGUGGGGUACAAGUUUACGUGCGAGUCUUUGCAGAGGUUCGGCUUUCCUCUUCCUGUACCAGUCAAAGAACAGGUGGUGCCAGAUCCUGAGUUCCCCACAGUGAAAUACCCCAACCCAGAGGAGGGCAAGGGAGCACUGAAAUUGUCAAUGCAGACGGCAGAUGCUAAUGGAAGCGUGGUAAUCCUGGCCAAUGACCCUGACGCAGACAGACUGGCAGUAGCUGAGAAACAGCCCAGUGGUGAGUGGAGGAUCUUCACUGGGAAUGAGAUAGGGGCCCUGUUGGGGUGGUGGAGUCUCUUCACCUUCAGAAAAAGUCGCCCAGAUGUCAAAGACAGUGAUAUUUGUAUGGUGGCCAGCACAGUUUCCUCCAAGAUCCUGCAGACCAUUGCCAAGAAGGAAGGGUGUAUCUUUGAUGAGACUUCGACGGGCUUCAAGUGGAUUGCUAACAAGGCUUGUGAUAGACAGAAUGAUGGGAAACAUGUCAUCUUUGCAUUUGAAGAGGCUAUUGGGUUCAUGUGCGGCACCAAGGUUCUGGACAAAGAUGGAGUGAGUGCAGCAGCAGUGAUGGCAGAGAUGGCAACAUUCCUGUACAACGACAACUCAACUCUGGCUAAACAGCUGGAAGAGAUUUUCAACAAAUACGGUUAUCACUUGUCACGAAAUUCCUACUUCCGGUGUGAUGACCCAGCUAUUACUGCCAAGAUGUUUCAGAAUCUCCGUAACUUCGAUGGUCCAGGAAAGUAUCCAUCAAGUUGUGGCCCUUACAAGAUCAAAUAUGUUCGAGAUCUGACAGGCAAAGGCUACGACAACAGUCAGCCAGAUAAUGUUCCAGUGAGUUGAACUCAGAAAUAUGACAGGAAGUUCUUGUUCUUGUAAGACCUACUCAAGGCAUGCUUCCCAAAUUCUACCUACAAGCAAGUCCUCAGAGAUGAUCACAUUCACAUUUGAAAAUGGCUGUGUGGCUACCCUGCGGACAAGCGGCACCGAACCCAAAAUCAAGUACUACACUGAACACAAGC